CAGCCGCCGCGGUAAUACGAGGGGGGCAAGCGUUGUUCGGAAUUAUUGGGCGUAAAGGGCGCGUAGGCGGUUUGACAAGUCUUGUGUGAAAUCUCUGGGCUCAACCCAGAGUCUGCACGGGAAACUGUCGGGCUAGAGGAUGGGAGAGGUGAGUGGAAUUUCCGGUGUAGCGGUGAAAUGCGUAGAUAUCGGAAGGAACACCUGUGGCGAAAGCGGCUCACUGGACCAUUACUGACGCUGAGGCGCGAAAGCUAGGGGAGCAAACAGGAUUAGAUACCCCGGUAGUCCCUGUCUCUUAUAC
rnacentral:rRNA from 1 species